GAUGAACGCUGGCGGCGUGCCUAAUACAUGCAAGUCGAGCGAACGGACGAGAAGCUUGCUUUUCUGAUGUUAGCGGCGGACGGGUGAGUAACACGUGGAUAACCUACCUAUAAGACUGGUAUAACUUCGGGAAACCGGAGCUAAUACCGGAUAAUAUUUUGAACCGCAUGGUUCAAAAGUGAAAGACGGUCUUGCUGUCACUUAUAGAUGGAUCCGCGCUGCAUUAGCUAGUUGGUAAGGUAACGGCUUACCAAGGCAACGAUGCAUAGCCGACCUGAGAGGGUGAUCGGCCACACUGGAACGGAGACACGGUCCAGACUCCUAAGGGAGGCAGCAGUAGGGAAUCUUCCGCAGUGGGCGAAAGCAUGACGGAGCAACGCCGAGUGAGUGAUGAAGGUGUUCGGAUCGUAAAACUCUGUUAUUAGGGAAGAACAUAUGUGUAAGUAACUGUGCACAUCUUGACGGUAACUAAUCAGAAAGCAACGGCUAACUACGUG
rnacentral:rRNA from 1 species